GGUCUUUAUGUCUUUGAAUGAGGGUAAAAAACUUUCCACCUUCAAUUUUAUUCGCAUUCAAAGACAUAAAAUC
rnacentral:pre_miRNA from 1 species